rnacentral:rRNA from 1 species
GGGCGGGGGCGGGUCUUCACAUGCAGUCCGAACGGUGAAGCCAAGCUUGCUUGGUGGAUCAGUGGCGAACGGGUGAGUAACACGUGAGCAACCUGCCCUGGACUCUGGGAUAAGCGCUGGAAACGGCGUCUAAUACUGGAUAUGAGCUUUCACCGCAUGGUGGGGGUUGGAAAGAUUUUUCGGUCUGGGAUGGGCUCGCGGCCUAUCAGCUUGUUGGUGAGGUAAUGGCUCACCAAGGCGUCGACGGGUAGCCGGCCUGAGAGGGUGACCGGCCACACUGGGACUGAGACACGGCCCAGACUCCUACGGGAGGCAGCAGUGGGGAAUAUUGCACAAUGGGCGGAAGCCUGAUGCAGCAACGCCGCGUGAGGGAUGACGGCCUUCGGGUUGUAAACCUCUUUUAGCAGGGAAGAAGCGAAAGUGACGGUACCUGCAGAAAAAGCGCCGGCUAACUACGUGCCAGCAGCCGCGGUAAUACGUAGGGCGCAAGCGUUAUCCGGAAUUAUUGGGCGUAAAGAGCUCGUAGGCGGUUUGUCGCGUCUGCUGUGAAAUCCCGAGGCUCAACCUCGGGCCUGCAGUGGGUACGGGCAGACUAGAGUGCGGUAGGGGAGAUUGGAAUUCCUGGUGUAGCGGUGGAAUGCGCAGAUAUCAGGAGGAACACCGAUGGCGAAGGCAGAUCUCUGGGCCGUAACUGACGCUGAGGAGCGAAAGGGUGGGGAGCAAACAGGCUUAGAUACCCUGGUAGUCCACCCCGUAAACGUUGGGAACUAGUUGUGGGGACCAUUCCACGGUUUCCGUGA